rnacentral:rRNA from 1 species
CCUACGGGAGGCAGCAGUGAGGAAUAUUGGUCAAUGGACGAGAGUCUGAACCAGCCAAGUCGCGUGAAGUAUGACUGUCCUAUGUAUUGUAAACCUCUUUUAUAUGGGAAUAAAAUCUUGCACGUGUCCGCUGUUGUAUGUACCUUAUGAAUACGCAUCGGCUAACUCCGUGCCAGCAGCCGCGGUAAUACGGAGGAUCUGAUCGUUAUCCGGAAUUAUUGGGUUUAACGGGUGCGCAGGUGGUUUGUUAAGGCAGUUGUGAAAGGCUGCGGCUCAACCGCAAGAUUGCAGUUGAAACUGGCAGUCGUGAGUACGGUAGAGGUAGGCGGAAUGCGUGGUGUAGCGGUGAAAUGCUUAGAUAUCACGCAGAACUCCGAUUGCGAAGGCAGCACGCCGGACUGCAACUGACGCUGAGGCACGAAAGUGUGGGUAUCGAACAGGAUUAGAUACCCGAGUAGUC